AUACGUAGGGAGCGAGCGUUGUCCGGAAUUACUGGGCGUAAAGGGCGUGUAGGCGGAGAUCUAAGCAGGGUGUGAAAACUAUGGGCUCAACCCGUAGCCUGCGUUCUGAACUGGAUCCCUUGAGGGCAGGAGAGGAAAGUGGAAUUCCUAGUGUAGCGGUGAAAUGCGUAGAUAUUAGGAGGAACACCAGUGGCGAAGGCGACUUUCUGGACUGUACCUGACGCUGUGGCGCGAAAGCGUGGGGAGCAAACUGGAUUAGAUACCCUGGUAGUCCACACUGUAAACGAUGAAUGCUAGGUGUAGGGGGUAUCGACCCCUUCUGUGCCGCAGUCAACACAAUAAGCAUUCCGCCUGGGGAGUACGGCCGCAAGGUUGAAACUCAAAGGAAUUGACGGGG
rnacentral:rRNA from 1 species